rnacentral:misc_RNA from 1 species
AAGUCGUAACAAGGUUUCCGUAGGUGAACCUGCGGAAGGAUCAUUAUUGAAUAAACCUGGCGUGGUUGUAGCUGGUCCUCUCGGGGACAUGUGCUCGCCCGUCAUCUUUAUAUCUCCACCUGUGCACCCUUUGUAGACCUGGACGAUAACUUUCCGAGGCAACUCGGUCGGGAGGACUGCUGGCUUUCACGAGUCGGCUUUCCUUGUAUAUUAUCCAGGCCUAUGUCUUACACAUACCCCAAAGAAUGUAACAGAAUGUAUUGUAUAUGGCCUAGUGCCUAUAAACUAUAUACAACUUUCAGCAACGGAUCUCUUGGCUCUC